rnacentral:lncRNA from 1 species
CGGACUUAAUUCCAACACUAAUGACUGAAAGAAUGAGUUCCUAGUUGUCAAUUACUUUAUUUUACAGGGCUUUAUGGCAACCAGAGUGCUGCCAGAGAAAGCCUGCUACAUUUCCAUCAUGAACAGAACGGAGAUGCCCAGCUUUGAUGCGCUUCCCCAACUGGCUGCAGAGAGCAGGAACCAGAACCGUCCAAGACCACCUGCAAAGGAGAUUCUGUUCACCCUCAUCAAGAGGAAUGUUCGGGACCUCGAGUCUUAUGGACCAGACACCUUCUCUAUGUGCAGAGGACUCACAACUUAUGUGGCUUAUGAAGUUCAUGGACCACAAUUCAGCCUCGGAUCAUGUAUUAGACUUGAUGUCCUUCAAUAUUUGGCCCUUACAUACUGUCAUGACAAUAACUAUGCCUGAAAAUCAUCCCAUUCUUGAGCCUUGUCUGGAUGUUCCAGCUGCAGCUUUGUAGCUGCUGCCCAAAGCCAACCCUGAUGCC